UACGCAGGGUGCGAGCGUUAAUCGGAAUUACUGGGCGUAAAGCGUGCGCAGGCGGUUCGCCAAGUCAGGUGUGAAAUCCCCGGGCUUAACCUGGGAAUUGCGCUUGAAACUAGCGGGCUUGAGUGUGGCAGAGGGGGGUGGAAUUCCACGUGUAGCAGUGAAAUGCGUAGAGAUGUGGAGGAACACCGAUGGCGAAGGCGGGUCUCUGGGCCGAUACUGACGCUGAGGAGCGAAAGCGUGGGGAGCGAACAGG
rnacentral:rRNA from 1 species